rnacentral:misc_RNA from 1 species
GAUGAAGAACGCAGCGAACGUGCGAAACGUAAUGUGAAUUGCAGAAUUCAGUGAAUCAUCGAAUCUUUGAACGCAUCUUGCGCUCCUUGGUAUUCCGAGGAGCAUGCCUGUUUGAGUGUCGUGAAUACUCUCAACUUCAACCCUUUUUUCGGAAAGGGAGGAAGGUUGGACUUGGGUGUUUGUUGAAGUGCGAGCUUCGACUCAUCCUAAAUGCAUUAGCGAUCUGCCUCGAUCACACACAAUGUGAUAAUUAAAACUAAAGCAUUGUUUAAUGAUCAAGUCGAGACUGCUUCUAACUGUCGCAAGACAAUAACGUGCAUAAAUUUGUGCAUGUCAUUUGACCUCAAAUCAGGUAGGACUACCCGCUGAACUUAAGCAUAUCAAUAAGCGGAGGA